AGAGUUUGAUCCUGGCUCAGGAUAAACGCUGGCGGCGUGCCUUAUGCAUGUAAGUCGAACGUCCCCGACGCAAGUCGGGGAGUGGCAAACGGGUGCGUAAUACGUAGGUAACCUGCCCCUAAGUGGGGAACAACUCUGAGAAAUCGGGGCUAAUACCGCAUGUGGUCCUUUAUCGCAAGGUGAGGGAUUAAAGCCUUCGGGCGCUUGGGGAGGGGCUUAUGUCCUAUCAGGUAGUUGGUGGGGUAAUAGCUUACCAAGCCGAUGACGGGUAGCUGGUCUAAGAGGAUGAUCAGCCACACUGGGACUGAGACACGGCCCAGACUCCUACGGGAGGCAGCAGCAGGGAAUAUUGUGCAAUGGGCGAAAGCCUGACACAGCGACGCCGCGUGAGGGAAGAAGGCCUUCGGGUCGUAAACCUCUUUUCUCAGGGAGGAGUAAGGACAGUACCUGAGGAAUAAGCCACGGCUAACUACGUGCCAGCAGCUGCGGUAAAACGUAGGUGGCUAGCGUUAUCCGGAUUUAUUGGGCGUAAAGAGGGCGCAGGCGGCCUGGUAAGUCGAAUGUGAAAUCUCCCGGCUUAACUGGGAGGGGUCAUUCGAUACUAUCAAGCUGGAGUGCGACAGGGGGAGGUAGAAUUCCCGGUGUAGUGGUGAAAUGCGUAGAUAUCGGGAGGAAUACCAGUGGCGAAGGCGGCCUCCUAGGUCGUUACUGACGCUUAAGCCCGAAAGCGUGGGGAGCAAACAGGAUCAGAUACCCUGGUAGUCCACGCUGUAAACUAUGGACACUGGGUAUGGGGAGUAUCGACCCUCUCCGUGCCGAAGUUAACGCGUUAAGUGUCCCGUCUGGGAACUACGGCCGCAAGGCUAAAACUCAAAGGAAUUGACGG
rnacentral:rRNA from 1 species